GGUAGGGUCCCCUGGAGAAAGCCGUGUGUGGCCCACACCUCGGAAGCCUGCCCCUUCAUGUGCACAGGGUAGGCAGGGAGGCGGCUGCUCUGUUGCCCGUGGCAACAGCUACGCUUUGCAGGUGGACCAUGGACUCAGCUCUGCAGAGCCCAGGCUGGCCCUGCUCCUCCACAGCCCCAUGAGGGUCACUCCCGACCCUGGGUGUGGACGCAGGAGGCGCGUGGGGUGUCCUCACGUGGGCGCGUGAAUGUCCUGAUGUGGAAGCAGGAGGAAGAGAGACCCAGAUUAAUUUCUGCCUCUACAGAGGUUUUCUGUACGAGUUGUGCUGCCCUCAGCUUCAUUACUGUCCUGCCAUCCAGGCCUCACAGCAUCAGGGAUCCCUGAGGCCUCUGCUGGGACCAGUGGUGUGGGGAGUUCCUUUCCCACACUGACUGCUGGUCUUCAGGCAGCCAUGUGGGCUAACAGGAGGACGCGGACUUUUAAUAUGAAAAGCCAGUUUAGGAGUUUGCAGCUUGCUCAGGGUGGGCUCCAUCACCGGCCAGCAUCGUCCAGCCUGUAUUUCAGGGUGCGGUGCGGUACAAUUGCGACCCUGGGAAUGCAUUUCCGCCAAUGCGGCAGCUAUAUCUGAAGACCUGGGGCUGCGGCACUCGGGUCCUGACCGCUCAGUGUCACGGAAACAGGGUUGGAGUCUGACCCCUCCCCUUGACAGCUGAGCCUCGGUUUCCGUUUCUCAAGUGAGCUGUGAGAAGAGACGCCUGUCGUCUGCCAGGAGAGGCGUGGGCCCUGCGACUCCGUCACCCAGGCUGCCAGUGCAGCGCAGUUUAAAGCAGGACUUGGGAAAGGCCAGAGAUGCCGAUGGGGAGCUGGAGAACUGGGUCUCCCCGAGCUUUGCAGAUGUCCAGGCGGGCCUCGGCUGGUCCCCUAGCCUCUUCGAGUUUUGUUUUUCUUAAUCCGAACAGUGAAGAUCGACCACUCGGGUAUCAAUUUCCGAGCUGCGCCCCCAGUACAGAGAUACUCCCUCAGGCAUUUAUUAAGUCUAAGUCACUUAAUUACAAAGAGUUGGAGUGAAAUAAAGUCAGAGUCAGCUCCUUGGCCCUGGUGGCCUCUCGCUUGCUCAGUACCCACAUGUGGCCACCGCUGCCAGGGUGUAUAGCUGGGCUCGGAUCCCCUCGCCCGAAGCCCUCCCCAGCCACCCUGC
rnacentral:lncRNA from 1 species